CUAGUGGCGGGCGUGCUUGCGCCUCAGCUCUGUAGCUUCUGGGUUCCGUUUCCACGGUUACGGCGGCGUGAGGCUGUGUGUCCCAGUCACUGACGUGAAGCUGUUUGUGCGUGCCUGGGAGCUGCACACUCUUUAAGUGACCGGCCUGGAGACAGUUGCUCAGAUCAAGGCCCAUGUCGCCUCCUUGGAGGGCCACACCACCGAAGAUAAAGUAGUGCUUCUGGCAGGUUCUCCCCUGCAGGAUGAAGCCACCCUGGGUCAGUGUGGGGUAGACGCCCUGGCGACCCUGGAAGUGGUUGGCCGUAUGCUAGGAGGUGAGUGGGGCUACAGAGGCCAAACUGGUGCCAGGGGCUAUUUAUGAUCCUUAGACUUACUUUGCCUUUCACAGUGUCUAACGUUUUUUGCUUUAAUUUACAAUAUCUAAAAGUCAGUUGAUUUUGUGUGAAAAUACAAUAUCUGGCCUUGCUUCAAAACUUGGGAAGAUCUGGUGACAGGGGGCCUGUGUUCCCACAUACCAACAGUCGGCCCCAGCUGAGUAGUGGCUGCUCCCUUUAGAAGGCUUUAUAGUUUGCUACAGUUUCCACUCCUCCCUCCUCAAAAGCAGUGUCAGUUACCAUUUAUCAUCAGGCUUGUGCUGUUGUUUCUCUUGUAAAGAAAAGUGAACUCUCUUUUUGUACCUAUGUCUCUAUCAAAAAUGGGAAAACGAAAGAUGGAUUCAGAGCGUUGCAUGUUUCAAGAUUAGUGGGAAUGAGCAUAUUUCUUUGUGAAAGUUAAGAAUAGCCCUAAGUGUUUUGUAUGUAACCACACUUUGUCUGUAUCAAAAGAAUACAGCUUAAGACGCCAUUAUGAAACAAACCAGAGUGAGAAUUUUGACUGGUGUACAGAAAAUAUGCGUAAUGAAAAACUUAAUGAACUAAAAAAAGGACUAAACUUUCUUCCGCAUUUAUCAUCAAAUGCAAAUAAAAUAACCGAUGCUGCUGUGAAAUGCAGUUAUGUCAUAAGUGGAAAAAUUGCCCAGGCAUCAAAACCUUUCACAGAUGGCGAGUUUAUAAAAGACUCUCUAUUGAGUGUGCAGAAAUCAUGUGUCCAGAGCAGAAACAAGCAUUUGCAAACAUAAGUCUAACUGGAAACACUGUUGCUCAGCAAGUAAAAGAUAUGGCUGAGAAUCUAAAGUACAAGUUGGGAGAAAAAGUGAAUUCAUCUGUGACAUUUUCUAUUGCAGUGGAUGAGAGCACAUAUAUAAAUAAUUCAAGCCAGUUAAUUAUAUUUAUCUGGGGUGUUGAUGAGAAUUUUGACAUCACUGGAGAACUUUUGGACAUGGUUCCCAUGAUAGACCAGCAUCUGAAAAUGACUUAUUUGGGUAUGUUGAGAAAAGUCUUGAAAAGUUUAAUGUUGGGGCACCUGGGUGGCUCAGUCGUUAGGCAUCUGCCUUCGGCUCAGGUCAUGAUCCCAGGGUCCUUG